ACUCCUAGUUUAAGACUACACUGUGUGUUGCAGCUAGGUUAUAUAUUUCCCCCAGACAAGGUUAGUAGUAAGAGUUGGUUGCAGUUGUUUCCCUGUGUUAGAAAACAAAACUGAGAGCUCCGGAAGAAUCAUGUUUUCAGCAUGGUUUCCAAACAUCAGCCUAUUACUUCCCUCAUGGUUGGCUGGGUUAAACUGUGCUGCUUCAGGUGCAUCAGAGAGGAGACAAGCCAGACAGGCCUGGCCUGAGCUCUCCUAGCUGGCUGGGAACAAGUGGAAUUGGAACCAUGGACUAAGAGCAUCCAGGAAUGAAUUGGGUCAAUCUUCCCAAAGCAUUGGCAGUGGUGUCUUGUUCUCAGAAACUGCCUAGCUUCAUUAUUUAUUCAGUCGAGCUUUGCUGUUUCUGUUAGAUUGUAUGACAGAUAUGACAGCAGCAUGAAGGGUAUUUUUUUGCUGGGCUUGCUUUUCCUCUUCAGUUUCAUUUACUUCUGCUGGUAGUUUGCAAGUGUCAGUCAUCCCUAGGCUGCGUUUGCUGUUCAGGUAUGUUCUGCUAUUUACUACUGCUCUGUAUUUCAAUAAUACAAAUAUAUGUUGUGCACACAGAUGAGAAAUGUUAAUGCAAAGGGAUCAACAGCACUUGUUGUUAUGGGAAGUAUCAGAGUAUUAUAAACAAUGCCUAAAAAUGUACUAUAAAAUAUGAUUAUAUGGUAUUUCAGGUGGAAUAGGAAUAAUAUGAAGACACAAAAGAAUACUGGAAGCUCAUCCUGUCCAAGAAUCCGUCUCUGGAAGUGCUUAAUAAUCAGGCCAGAUUAAAACAGAUACUUAAACUGAUAAUAGCAAAUGCAAAGUGAGAAAAUACUGCCAGUCUGACUUUAUCAUCUGUUUUGUUCUUUGCUUUGUGCUACCUUUGCACUCAUUUAAAUAGUCAUACAGUCUGCACCAUCAUGCUGAUUCUGACCAUAUGAGUGAUGAGCAUAGCUCUUAUUUUUUGAUGCAACUGCCAGGUUAGAAUUGGAAGUGACAUUCAAUGACAUUCCAUCUCUGUCACAUCAUCUGGUCAUCUUCUUGGCAAGGCACGUGAAGUAUAGCUUCUCCAUAGUAACUUAUGCUGCCUAUUUGUCAUGAAAAAGGGUAACAAUUAUGAGCACCUUCCUAGAAUCUCAGCAGGAGAAAUCUUGAGCCUGCAGCAAAUUUUCCUUGAAGACAUAGACGUAAUGGUAACCAGCUAUAUUGUGCCAUCGAUAAAGUGACUAGUCACACUUUACCUUCAGCAUAUUAUAUGGUGGUUGUGAAAAGAAUAAGAAAGCUUUUGUAAGUGUAUUAGCAACUAAACCUACAAAAUCACAAGAGAGCUUAGAUAGCUCCACACAGGCACUUUAUGGUGUAUUGAGUACAUGCUUAGAAGUUGGUGAAAUUGCACUGAGGGUUGAUUUUGGCUUGGCAUUUCUAUGUUGAAAGAAAUGACGAGUGUGCUCACUGCCUUAUGCUCCCAGUGAAUUCUGAGCUUCAUAAGGUUAAUGUUAGUCAGUUAAACUUUGAAAUUCUUCUUAAGAUAUGAGAUUAUUUCAGACCAAUAGAGUGCUUUGCAAGUGUGCGUGCUACAGAUUAUUACUGUGCUUUAAACUUUGUGAAGGUAGGAAACUGUCAGGAGAGAGUUGUAUAUCUAUUCAGUUCACUCCAUCAAAUAUAGUACUUAAAAAUUUCAAGAUUAGCAAUCUUCAUCUACAAACUGUUGAAGGACAGUAAAGUUUAUACAGAACUCAUUUCUAGUGUGUGUGACAGCAUCAAUGGAUUUGUCACUCACAGCAGUAGUUUCUUCCUGAAAAGUUUUGACAGAAAUGUGAAGCAUUUAACUAUUUCAAUGUUAGCAUUAAGAAGUCUACUCACAACUUGGUACUUUUCAGUGUAUUCUGAGUAUGGAUGAAAACAUCUAUAGUAAGUUUCAAGGGUACUUGUGCACUGUGAAUCCGAAAGACAACAGUGAGGUUCUGAGGACCUGUUGGAGAUUGUGGUAGAGAACGGAGCAUUGUAGGUCAAACUCUGCAUUCAGAUGUACGCGUAUUGUUGCCACUGAAGUUACUGGAGAUUCCUGUUACAAUGGUCUUUUACUCCAGAAUUUGCUGAGGUAAAUUGGAGAGGCAAUUCAACCCGGUCCAUUUCUCUUCUUUGACGUUAUGUAUAUGCAUCCUUUUCAAGUAAAACCUGACUGACAGUUGUAUGUCAUCAUUGUUACAGUAGGGCUAUUCACUUAUAUACAUACAAUUACCUAGAAAUCUUAAAAUAAGUCAGAAUAUGGAUGAAUUAUAAUCUUCAUGUGCCUGUUUCCUUCUUUCUUUUUUAACCCCUUAUGGCUUACUGAAGUAAAAUGGUGAAUUGGGUAGCCCCAAUGAUUUUGCCCAGCAGACUGCUGUGUUGCUUGAUCUGCAAUAACAAGCUAUAUAGAACUAGAUUGUGUAGCUAUACACAUUUUAAUACAUAGGCUGAUUAAAACUAAAUAAUAGAGAUGUCACUGAGAGAGACAUUCCCUCACUGAAGAACAGCAAGUAAUGCUCAAAGGGUAAGAUAAUUUUAUUUUAGUUAUACUAUAUUGAAAAACUGUGUUGAGAGAGGUGGUUCCCCAGUAUGAGUAACGUUUACAUAGCUGUAGAAAUGAAGUGGAGUAGGGUGGGGGUGGAAAUCAUCUCCAAAUGCACCUUUCAUUAUCAGCAGGGGGGUGGCUGUGUUCUCUUCCAUGCAGCAGGAGAAUAGAAAUGUCUAAUAUGAAAGAUACUGUCUAAACUGUCACCUGAUGCCCUAAGUACGGAAGACGGUGGAUUUUUCUGACUUAAGUUCUCUUGUAAAUCCUGGCAUAUUAAAAUGGAAGAGAAGAUGCAUAUUGAGUUGGUUGCUCCUGGAAUCAGCAGGGCACAGAUAAAUUACUAGGCUCUGAUCAGUGCUUGUUUGGAGAACUCUGUGGCAAUCUAACAUCCACUGCCCCUUUUGAAUACUUAACACACUGUGACCUUGUCCAAAGAUGAUUUAGAGUCUCGGGUUCAUCUGUAAGAGAAAGGAAUUUAAAUUACAUUUCUUGGACUGUUCUACUGUAUGCUUAA